GGCAAGCAAAGGCACACCAAGCUGAAUUGUCCGUCUCUCCACGUAUAUGUGUGCAUAUAUGUGUGCAGGCCUGUGGGACAUUCUGGAAGGGCACGCACUGCCUACUUGAAGACAGUUCAAGGGACAAGGCAAGUUAAGAAGAGAAAACAAGACUUCAGAUCUGUGCAGUUUGAGUUUUUAUAAUAAAUCAUUAAAAAUAAGUCACCUGCACCAUUUGAAAUGCUCACUGUCACAGCAUAAAGAGACACUAUGGGCAUUGUGGUGUGGACUUCUUCCUUCUGCCCCCAGCCUCCUGCCACAGGAUAGUGCCACCCACAUUCAUUGGGUCUUAGUGUCUGUGCCCAAUGGCCAUCCUUUCUGCAACUACUCAGAGGACAUGGUCACCCAAGGCCUUGCCAAUAGGGUAGCAGAGAUCUGUAGACCUAGGGUUCCAACCCAGAAACAGUUAGACCUGAUGAUAUAGAUGUGUGUCAUUGCUGGCCUUUUAUGGGGGUUUUGGGGAUCUGAAUUCAGGUCCUCAUGCUCACAUGGCAAGCGCUGUACCCACCCAGCCAUUUCCACAGCCCUCCCUGUGCCCUCAACUGCUGGUAACUGGUGUUGACUGGAGCCUUUACAGACUGAUCCUGGGCUGCUUGCUUCUUCUCUCCAAGAUGGCGAGAUGAGGCCCUGGCUUCUAGCUGCCCUUCUGUGGCUACAAGGGCAGGCCCUGUGAUGCCAGGCCCAGGUUCUAAGGUCCCCUCGUCUCCCAUUUCUGUGCAGUGUCCUCCAGUCCUUGCCACAGGCUCAGCGGCAGGCAGCUGGGGUCCACUGGGUGAGAGGACUGGGAGUUUGGGGCUGCAACCCAAUCCCCUUGUAUCAGCUCCUAUCGACAGCACCCUCUGUGCAUCUAAAGGGCUGCCUGGGGACAGACAACUUCCACCUGUGAGGACACAGGAGAAGGCAAGUCCUGCCCUUGGAAGGCCACUUCCUCUCCAAGCAGAGAUGCCAGGCUAUGUAGCCCUGCAGGAAAAGGGUAGGGUGUGUGGGGUCCCCUGCAGCAGAGAUUAAGGGUACUGUAAGAGGAACUGGGGAUAUAUCUGUCUCAGCCUUACCCUCCUGCCUCAGCAAGCACAGGACAUGGUCACCUCCUUGUCAGGACUUAGAGUGUGAGUGACAUUGGUUAGUGGAGGCCCAUCGGCAAGCAAUGGACUGGGGAGGACUGUUUGAGACACUUCUGGGGCAGAGGGAUAUACGGAAGGUAGACGCUGUCCACCCUGAAUCAGAGUGACGUCGCCCCACCCAGAGGGAGUAGGAAGGGAGCAGGGUGAUCUGCACAUGGCUGAGCCCACAGAGGGGAGCUUUCCCACACAGCAGCGGCCUGUCAUUUCUGAAGCACUAGAGCCAGACAUCACCGGGCUCAGUGGAGAGAUGGCCACAGCCCAAGUGAGUGAUGGAUGAGGACAACCACAGGCAAGUGCCCCAACCUCGGGGACCGGAGACACGUGCCCUCCACCUGUGCCCUGCUCUGGAGACUGUGGCUGUACCAGCUUGCCUAGUAAAUCUUACCACUCACAGCUAUUGACUGCAUGAAUGUGGCCUAUUGAUCGGAACUGGGCCAGGCCAGGCGGCGCGCGCAGGGCCAGGCUGCUGCAGCCCACCUUGAUGAACUGGCAGAUCUAGGAUCACGCUCUUUGCAAGUGAUUGUGUCAGUGAAAAUGAGAAAUAACGAUCAGAGCUAGGAGCUGGUUAUUAAGAAAGACUUUCAGCCAAUUCACGAAUCCUGGUGGCUGCUCUAACCACUGGGUCUCCCCACAGAGAGGCGUGAUUCCAGGGGCAUAAUUUUCCCCAAGAAGAUGGGUUGUGUCAUAAAGACGUUUGGAGCAUCACGGUGGAAAUGGGGACAGUGGCAGGGGGUGGGGGUGGCACAGACAGUCACACCUUUCUCUGGCUUCUAAGGAGGCUCUGGCUCCCUAGAUGGGCCUGGAAGAAAGGAUUUGCUAAACUUUAAGGAGCAGAAGUCACCCGUGGCCCAUGACCAUCUGCCCACAGCCAUCGAAAGAGAACUAAA
rnacentral:lncRNA from 1 species